GACUGCCGGUGAUAAACCGGAGGAAGUUGGGGAUGACGUCAAGUCAUCAUGCCCCAUAUGUCCUGGGCGACACACGUACUACAAUGGUCGGGACAGCGAGCAGCCAACUUGCGAAAGUGAGCUAAUCUCUCAAACCCGGCCUCAGUUCAGAUUGCAGGCUGCAACUCGCCUGCAUGAAGGAGGAAUCGCUAGUAAUCGCAGGUCAGCAUACUGCGGUGAAUUCGUUCCCGGGCCUUGUACACACCCCCCGUCACACCAUGGAAGUCGGCCAUGCCCGAAGUCAUUACUCUAACCGUUCGCGGAGGAGGGUGCGGAAGGGAGGGCUGAUGACYCGGG
rnacentral:rRNA from 2 species